GUGGUUGUAGCUCAGUUGGUUAGAGCGUCGGUUUGUGGUACCGAAGGCCGCCGGUUCGAGCCCGGUCUUCCACCCCG
rnacentral:tRNA from 1 species